rnacentral:rRNA from 1 species
AUUGAACGCUGGCGGCAUGCUUUACACAUGCAAGUCGAACGGCAGCGCGGGGGCAACCCUGGCGGCGAGUGGCGAACGGGUGAGUAAUGCAUCGGAACGUAUCCUGUAAUGGGGGAUAACGUAGCGAAAGUUACGCUAAUACCGCAUACGCUCGAGAGAGGAAAGUGGGGGAUCGCAAGACCUCACGUUAUAGGAGCGGCCGAUGUCCGAUUAGCUAGUUGGUGGGGUAAAGGCCUACCAAGGCGACGAUCGGUAGCUGGUCUGAGAGGAUGAUCAGCCACACUGGGACUGAGAUACGGCCCAGACUCCUACGGGAGGCAGCAGUGGGGAAUUUUGGACAAUGGGCGAAAGCCUGAUCCAGCCAUGCCGCGUGCGGGAAGAAGG